rnacentral:rRNA from 1 species
UACGUAGGGUGCGAGCGUUGUCCGGAAUUACUGGGCGUAAAGAGCUCGUAGGUGGUUUGUCGCGUUGUUCGUGAAAACUCACAGCUUAACUGUGGGCGUGCGGGCGAUACGGGCAGACUGGAGUACUGCAGGGGAGACUGGAAUUCCUGGUGUAGCGGUGGAAUGCGCAGAUAUCAGGAGGAACACCCGUGGCGAAGGCGGCUCUCUGGGACGUGACUGACGCUGAGACGCGAAAGCGUGGGGAGCGAACAGG